UACAGAGGUCUCAAGCGUUGUUCGGAUUCAUUGGGCGUAAAGGGUGCGUAGGCGGCGUGGUAAGUCGGGUGUGAAAUCUCGGAGCUUAACUCCGAAACUGCAUUCGAUACUGCCUGGCUAGGGUACUGGAGAGGAGACUGGAAUUUACGGUGUAGCAGUGAAAUGCGUAGAUAUCGUAAGGAAGACCAGUGGCGAAGGCGAGUCUUCGGACAGUUACCGACGCUGAGGCACGAAGGUCAGGGGAGCAAACGGG
rnacentral:rRNA from 1 species